AAGACUGGAAAGGUUAAAAGGGAGAAACCUACCAUGACGAAAAAGAAGAACAAACUGGUCCCUUGCUACAAUUGCCCAAACUGCAGGGUGUGCUGUUCAUCUGAAGAUGCCCUGCUCGACUAUUUUAUAAGAAAGCAUUCAUCGUGGAAAGUUGAUAGGCCUGACACACUUUACAAUCAGGAAGAUGAAAUCAACGUGCCAUCAAACAUCCAUUGACACCGAGACACUGAAGAGACGCCCCAACAAGAUGACAACGCCGCAAAUGAAGAUCAAGCCAACGUGCCAUCCCACUUCUUUUUCCAAC